rnacentral:rRNA from 1 species
GACGAACGCUGGCGGCGUGCUUAACACAUGCAAGUCGAACGGAAAGGCCCUGCUUUUGUGGGGUGCUCGAGUGGCGAACGGGUGAGUAACACGUGAGUAACCUGCCCUUGACUUUGGGAUAACUUCAGGAAACUGGGGCUAAUACCGGAUAGGAGCUCCUGCUGCAUGGUGGGGGUUGGAAAGUUUCGGCGGUUGGGGAUGGACUCGCGGCUUAUCAGCUUGUUGGUGGGGUAGGGGCUUACCAAGGCUUUGACGGGUAGCCGGCCUGAGAGGGUGACCGGCGUCAUUGGGACUGAGAUACGGCCCAGACUCCUACGGGAGGCAGCAGUGGGGAAUAUUGCACAAUGGGCGGAAGCCUGAUGCAGCAACGCCGCGUGCGGGAUGACGGCCUUCGGGUUGUAAACCGCUUUCGCCUGUGACGAAGCGUGAGUGACGGUAAUGGGUAAAGAAGCACCGGCUAACUACGUG